GACUCUCGGCAACGGAUAUCUCGGCUCUCGCAUCGAUGAAGAACGUAGCGAAAUGCGAUACUUGGUGUGAAUUGCAGAAUCCCGUGAACCAUCGAGUCUUUGAACGCAAGUUGCGCCCCAAGCCUUUGGGCCGAGGGCACGUCUGCCUGGGUGUCACG
rnacentral:rRNA from 1 species